GCAGUCCACACUAGAGAUUGAAGUCCUGGACACUACUGUGCUAAUAAGCAAUGGUCACAUAAACACUACCCUAUACCGGAAUCCUACUGACCGCUAUAGUUACCCACAUGCCCCCAGCUUCCAUCCAGGAUACACCACACGAUCCAUUGUCUACAGCAAAGCUUUAAGAUACAACUGCAUUUGCUCCAAUCCCUCAGACAGAGACAAACA